rnacentral:rRNA from 1 species
GUGAACGUUACAAACUGUUGCCUCGGCGGGAUCUCUGCCCCGGGUGCGUCGCAGCCCCGGACCAAGGCGCCCGCCGGAGGACCAACCAAAACUCUUAUUGUAUACCCCCUCGCGGGUUUUUUACUAUCUGAGCCAUCUCGGCGCCCCUCGUGGGCGUUUCGAAAAUGAAUCAAAACUUUCAACAACGGAUCUCUUGGUUCUGGCAUCGAUGAAGAACGCAGCGAAAUGCGAUAAGUAAUGUGAAUUGCAGAAUUCAGUGAAUCAUCGAAUCUUUGAACGCACAUUGCGCCCGCCAGUAUUCUGGCGGGCAUGCCUGUCCGAGCGUCAUUUCAACCCUCGAACCCCUCCGGGGGGUCGGCGUUGGGGAUCGGCCCUUUACGGGGCCGGCCCCGAAAUACAGUGGCGGUCUCGCCGCAGCCUCUCCUGCGCAGUAGUUUGCACACUCGCAUCGGGAGCGCGGCGCGUCCACAGCCGUUAAACACCCCAAACUUCUGAAAUGUUGACCUCGGAUCAGGUAGGAAUACCCGCUGAACUUAAGCAUAUCAAUAAGCGG